rnacentral:rRNA from 1 species
UGGUGCUUUUUCAUUGGUGCACCGAAUCCCAUCAUAACUCCGCAGUUAAGCGUGCUUGGGCUAGAGUAGUACUGGGAUGGGUGACCUCUCGAGAAGUCCUAGUGUUGCACCCU